GAAUGAUGAUGGCUGUUUCUGUCUCAGAAAAUGAUUGCAUCAACUUUGUGGAAAUGAAAUUUAUUGACAAUAUACUUUACUUUAUACCUGAAAAUGAUGAAAACCUGGAAUCAGAUUACUUUGGCAAACUUGUACCUAAAUUGUCAGUCAUACGAAAUUUGAAAAACCAAGUCCUCAUUGUCGACCGUGAGAAGAAACCUGUGUUUGAGGAUAUGCCUGAUGCUGACAUUGCAGAUAAUGCACCUCAGACUACAUUUAACAAAUAUACAUAUACCGAUAGCCGUGGUAGAGGUAUGGCUAUAGUCAUCUCUGUGAUGUGUAACGGAAACCAUACUCUCUCCUGUGAGGACAAAACCAUUUCCUUUAAGGUAAGACUGAGCCUUACUUUGCCUUCAUUCAAAUUAAUGGAAAAAAUUAGAAAACCCAGUAUCUUCAGUAGUUCAGUCUUUUAA
rnacentral:lncRNA from 1 species